rnacentral:rRNA from 1 species
GGGUGUCUUGGGUGGCUAGCGAGUUUACUUUGAAAAAAUUAGAGUGCUUAACACAGGCUAACGCCUGAAUACUCGUGCAUGGAAUAAUAGAAUAAGACCACGGNUCUAAUGGAGCACGGCUCUAAGGAUUANGGUGCNGCAUUCUUUNUGUUGCGUGUGUUGCCGCUUUCAAACUCUACCCCC